rnacentral:rRNA from 1 species
UACGGGGGGGGGGCAAGCGUUGUUCGGAAUUACUGGGCGUAAAGGGCUCGUAGGCGGCCAACUAAGUCAGACGUGAAAUCCCUCGGCUUAACCGGGGAACUGCGUCUGAUACUGGAUGGCUUGAGUUUGGGAGAGGGAUGCGGAAUUCCAGGUGUAGCGGUGAAAUGCGUAGAUAUCUGGAGGAACACCGGUGGCGAAGGCGGCAUCCUGGACCAACACUGACGCUGAGUGAGCGAAAGCCAGGGGAGCAAACGGGGAUUAAGAAACCCC